UACGUAGGGAGCGAGCGUUGUCCGAAGUUACUGGGCGUAAAGCGCACGUAGGCGGACUCUUAAGUCGGUGGUGAAAUCCUGGAGCUCAACUCCAGAACUGCCUUCGAUACUGAGAGUCUCGAGUCCGGGAGAGGUGAGUGGAACUGCGAGUGUAGAGGUGAAAUUCGUAGAUAUUCGCGAAGAACACCAGUGGCGAAGGGCGGCUCACUGGCCCGGUACUGACGCUGAGGUGGCGAAAAGCGUGGGGA
rnacentral:rRNA from 1 species